CGGAAAUGAUACAAGCGCCCCUCUGGUCGAUAACGACUUCCCAGUUAAAUCUUUAUGUAGUGGUCAAAAAAGGUAUUACAGUUUACUGAAACGCCACCAGGUGAAGUCAAUUCACCUUAAUUAAAAGUCGAUCAAACGAUUAGAUGUGGACGUUUAACUUUGAAGUCGGUUGAUACUGUGACAAGAAGAAAAAGUUAUUAAAAUGAAACAAACGUUGGAGUUGACGAACGUUAAAAGUCCGCCGCGGCGUUGCUUUGCCAACGAUGGUUGCUAACAAGCUGAAGCUAACUGUCAACAAACAAACAAAUAAACAAACAACUUCACCUUCAUGGGUGAAAGCGGAGAGGACUUCGACAGUAAAUCUUAAUGGGGGUGAUGUGAAAAUGGCUGGAGCUCCAAAGUUGUCUGGAAAUCCACCUGGCGAACUGUCGGGACAAAAGCUCAAGAAAGUGCUGGUUUUGGUCUGAACACCUCCCAGUUGCCAGGGUUUAUGUAGCGACGAUCGACCUUAACCCCUUGUGAUCCUGCACACAAGAGUUCAGUAAAGGACACAUGGCAGCCCAAUGAGACAACAGGACAACAGAAGCAUUCAACAGCUGCAGGAUUUCUCAUUCUCGGAUGAAAAAUGGUGAGUAAUCUCAGAUUGCUUUGGGGAAAUUCUACUUGAAAAGACGACCUCUGUGGAAUUUCACUGAUUUACAACGGACAUGAAACCUUAAAAGAAGCUGCAUCUGAUGUGUCUCAUCCAUGUCCUGAUGAGUAGACACUAACGCUGACUGCAUGACUCAGGAACUGUGGGAACUGGUCCUCCUGAACUACAACCGCUUUCAUGCAUCCAAAACCACAGAAGGUAAAGUACUUAUUCUGCACACAAGUGGUGCUGAAGUCUCUUUUUGAAGACGGACAGCACAAACCACUGUAUCCUUCCUGCUGUUGUCAGGUGGCUGGAAGACCAGAAAGGCCUUCACAGCUUGGAGGACAAACCCCUCCUUCAGUUUCAACUGAAAUCUUACUGCGUGUUUCAUUUCUGCUACAUCAAACAUAUCGGAAUAAAUCCAAGAAUGCAGUGAAGUGCCACUUUGAUUAACAACUGGUGCUAAAGAAGUCAUAUGGCUGUGAAGAUAUUGAACUGUUAGCUGCAUCUAUGCUACGUACCCGUGGAAUUUUACGUUAUUCACCGACUGAGACUCUGGACUGCACUCUUUGCUUUAUUGUAUCGUAUUUCUUGCAUAAUAUGCAUCUUCCACAACAACUUCUUGCAUAAAGGUCACAGAUGACCAACUAGUAACAACCAAAAGAUUAGCUUUCCUGUUGAAAUAUCCAACAUGAACAUCUUGUCCUCCAACUUUGUGUGUUUAACGAAGCGCCAAACAAACUUUCAGACGAGGAGUGUCCAGCUGACAUCAUGAUGCAGCACAGAUGGCUAAUAAUCUGCAAAAAUCUGGGCCCUGUAAAGCCUCAGCAGGCCCCUUUUCCUUCUUAUACAUCCACUGUUGCACUUAGUUACUAAACAAGCCCAUGUAUCUGCUGUUGUUUGGACAAGUACCAGUGAAGUGCUCUUCUUCCUCGCCGUACUGUGAGAAACUGAUGAUGCAGUCAGAAAGAAAUCUUUAAGUUUUACGUUGGUUAGUUUUACUGUGCCUACCAACACCACAUUUUCCAUUAUCCGCAUUUCCACAAAAAAUCUUUAUUCUUAUCUUUAUUCUUUCUUUUAAUAUUAAUGAAAUAUUAAUGUCUAAAAAGAUGGACUAAAGAUUUUUUUUAAUUAUAAAAGAAGGAGGAAAUGUGAUUAGUUGGAUUUCAGCCCUUUCAAUCUGCGCUUUUGUAUUUCCCUAUUAUGUGUUUCUAAUUUAUUUUUCAGAAUAACCAGCACUACUUAAAAUGUUUUAUUUGAAGUACUUGGCUGCAGGUAAACUAAUCAAGUGCAACAACAGAGAUUUACUUAUUAAUUUGAACCACUGACAUAACUAUGACUCAUUAAAGCGUUGUCUUCACCAACCAAUAACACAGAAGUAGCUCUACAGAGUUUCAUUUUCAAAUACAGAGAAGACAACAUGAAAGAUGUCCAGAAGAAUUUCUGAUGAGAUCAAUUCAACCAGAACAACUAUUCCUCCACUAUGUGUAAAGCGUUUACACGUCUUCACUUAAUCCUGUUCAAAUGUGAACACUUCCAUGUGCCUCUGAAUAAUGUUUGUUGUUGUCUUUAUCAUUUUGGAGCCUCACUUUAAAAAAAAAAACACGUAAACAACCAUCCUCAAACAUGCCAUGGUUUCUUGACACUGCAUCUCCAGUGCUUCCAUGAUUAUGUUUAUACCCACUGGUGGUCAAAACCCUGAAAUUGCUUCACUGGAUUUUGCUUAUUUGGAGCCAUUUGAGGGGCAGUAACUCAGCAUGGCAAAAACCAUCACACGGGAAUCAAGAACUGAUAAUGUGAGAGAGCAAAUGACUGUGUUCCGUGAUCACACAGAGUCAGCACAAAGGCAGCGACUCUCAACCCAUCCUAGACCGUGCUGUAAAUAAAAGCAUCCAAACGUCCCUGAGAAGCCGUCGCUCUGAACCAGAUGCUUCUCUUCAUCAGCUGUCAAUUGAGUCCUUUAGCAGAAACCUGAAGACUGAACAACAGAGUUAAUUCACUGAGCCUCAGCGUGACAAAGUCCCUCUCCCUGCUCACCAUGAAAUCAAUAGACGAAUAGAUGCUACAUUAGAAAAUGGAGCAAAGUGUCGUCACUGUCAAGAUAUUAUUUGGUCAGUGUGAGAUACUUCCAUCCAUUCUCUGAUCUGAUUGCAGCCUCUAAAGAAUUCCUCUGCAGGAUUUUUCUUGUUGCUGCUGCCUCUGUGUCCACGUGUUUCUGUGCUGGAAGCAAAAAAAAAAAAAAAAAGGCAGCGAGAGGAGGUUGUCACAGCGAGCGCAAAAACAGAGCAGACGAGCCACUUAACAGCACUAUACCCAACUGGUGCAAGGGAGCGAGAGGAAAAUCCAGCCAUGCCAGCGUGCCAAUAUAGUUUACCAGCUCGCUGAGAGGCGGGCAGCACCUGACAGAUGCCACUUGGAGCAUAAUUCCAGUGGGCUGAAAAGAUCCUCUACAUGACGGGAAGCCAGAGAAGCGGGAGGAGACCGGAAUACCCAACAACUAAACGCAGUGUUAAUGUUGUCUGUGCAUCUAUUGCAUCCAUUCCUUCCUGUUUUACUGUGUUUAGAAGCUGAGGAAACAAAAUGCAAAGAAAAAACUGAUGCUGUUAAUAAAUGGUGACUUGUUUCAGAUCUCAAUAUGUUCAGAUUUACUGUGUUUCUUUGUCUUGUGUGAUAAUAAACGGAAUAUCUUGAUGUUUUGCAAGUGAUUUCAAUAUUUUGCCUUCAGCUCUGGGGGGAAUGGGAUGAACAUUUCUUUUUAUUUUAUCACACUUAAUAACCC
ensembl:lncRNA